GACGAACGCUGGCGGCGUGCUUAACACAUGCAAGUCGAACGGUAAGGCCCUUCUUUUGUUGCGUGCUCGAGUAGCGAGCGGGUGAGUCGCACGUGACUAACCUACCCUUGUCUUUUGACUAACGUCAACUGACUGUGGUUCAUACCAGAUACUCGCUCCUCCUGCAUGGUGGUGGUUGGCUCGUGCGGUCGUGGGUGGAUUCGCGCCCUAUCUGCUUGUUGGUGGGGUAGUGGGCUACCUAGGCGGCGGUGGGUAGGCGGCCUGGGGGGGUGAGCGGCCACAUUGGGACUGAGAUACGGCCCAGACUCCGGCGGGAGGCAGGAGUGGGGAAUAUUGCACGAUGGGCGCAAGCCUGAUGCAGCAACGCCGCGUGCGGGAUGACGGCCUUCGGGUUGGAAACCGCUUUAAGCAGGGACGAAGCUUUUUGUGACGGGACCUGCAGAAGAAGCACCGGCUAACUACGUG
rnacentral:rRNA from 1 species